AUUUCGUGAUGAGUGCUUCUUCAUAAUAGUUCUUUAAACCUUUCCCAUGCCUCAUGCAAGGACUCGUCAUCCAUCUGUUGGAAGGUAGUGAUCUCAUUCCUUAACU
rfam:Gossypium raimondii Chr02_contig_1181, whole genome shotgun sequence.